UUAAGUUCAGGGGGUAGUCCUGCUCGAUUGGAGGUCAAAGUGUAUUAGAUUAAGAUUUGUGGUAAGCCCAUCCCGACCAGGCGUCCCCAUUGAAAGUGUGAGCUUAUGACAACGGGUCAAACCGCCAGUACAAAGGUACAGCUUGUUGCAAUUCAGCGCAGCCCGAGGUAAAUCGGGCAAAGGCGCCAAGAUCCAAACCC
rnacentral:misc_RNA from 1 species